GCCCCUGUAGCUCAAUGGACAGAGCAGGUGCCUUCUAAGCACAAGGUUGUGGGUUCGAAUCCCGCCAGGGGCGCUA
rnacentral:tRNA from 1 species